UGUACAUCAUAUUUAACCUUCUGUACAGACUACAUCAUAUUCCCCACCAAAAGUCUAGCUGCCAUCCAUCACCAUACAGAUCUAAAGAGUCAACAUUAAGUUAACAUCUUGGAAAAGUGAGCACCAAUACACAAUUGAGCCUGAUUCCAAAUCACCAGAAAAACUUCUCAGCCAAGUCCAGGUAAGCCACAGAAUCAUGAACUAAAUAAAGGCGGUUGUGUUUUUUCAUUUUUUGUGAGGAAGAUUGUCACUGAGCUAACAUCUGUACCAAUCUUCCUUUGUUUUGAAUGUGGGAUGUCUCCACAUCAUGGCUUGAUGAGCGGUGUGUAGGUCUGCGCCCAGGAGCCGAACCCAUGAACGCUGGGACAC
rnacentral:lncRNA from 1 species